rnacentral:lncRNA from 1 species
UCAGCUUCAAUUGCGUACAUUGUUGGAUAAGAAACCUUGUACCUGUUUAAGUAUUUCCAUUAUUAAUCAGUAUAUUUAGCUCCCAAACACAAAAUCACAAAGGGGUUUGGGGUAAUUUUUAACAAAAAGGUAAAAAACGAAUCUUUAGCUUCAAAUGACAAAAUCACAAAAGGGGUCGGGAAAAAUAAAAAAAUACGCAGAAUAAUGACAAAAUUGAGUGAAAGUUUAGUACUUUUUGCGAGCUUUGCCGACUUGAAAUGACAUCCAGAAGUUGAGGAAACAGUAGAAAACAAGAACAAGAAUUACGUAUCCAUAUUCUUUGGGGAGCAAUUCAACUCCAGCCAUAGCUUUUUCCUAUUUGAGUUUUGAGAGAGAAUUUGAGAAGUUAUGGCGAUUGAUACUUUGCUUUGUGUUGAGGUGAGGUUCUCGGGCUUUGGUUUAUAUUGACUUCUUCCAGAUCUCUCUGGAUCAGAAAAGUUUUAUAUUGUUGGCUUGUUUGCCAAGCCUGCUCCAAUGGAUUUUGACUUUGUCUAUUUGUGUUCCCACAUUUAUUUAUUGCAGUAAUAUAAUAUGAGCCUGCACCUUCCUCAAUCCUAAAGACCUUUCCACG